GAAGUGCGAUAAGCAAUGCGAAUUGCAGAACCGUGAGUCAUCAGAUUUUUGAACGUAACUGGCGCCGAUUGGUCCUCCAGUCGGCAUGCUUGUUUCAGUGUCUUGUUUUCUCCUCACCCAAAUCAUAAUGCGAGAGAUACCCUUCUCCCGUUAAACAUGAAAGUACUCUGCGCUCUGCAGGCGACUUCUAUGGCCUAGCCUAGUGUCGCACUCAAUGCAGCCGUCACAUUUCACAAUGUGAACUCAUUGAGAGCGGAGGCAGUGCAGCUUUUAGCUGCCAGUGCUUAGUCACUUAAACUUUACUUGCAUCUGAAAUCAAGCAGGACCACCCGCUGAACUUAA
rnacentral:misc_RNA from 1 species